UAAUACCGCAUAACGUCGCAAGACCAAAGUGGGGGACCUUCGGGCCUCAUGCCAUCAGAUGUGCCCAGAUGGGAUUAGCUAGUAGGUGGGGUAACGGCUCACCUAGGCGACGAUCCCUAGCUGGUCUGAGAGGAUGACCAGCCACACUGGAACUGAGACACGGUCCAGACUCCUACGGGAGGCAGCAGUGGGGAAUAUUGCACAAUGGGCGCAAGCCUGAUGCAGCCAUGCCGCGUGUGUGAAGAAGGCCUUCGGGUUGUAAAGCACUUUCAGCGGGGAGGAAGGCGUUAAGGUUAAUAACCUCAUCGAUUGACGUUACCCGCAGAAGAAGCACCGGCUAACUCCGUGCCAGCAGCCGCGGUAAUACGGAGGGUGCAAGCGUUAAUCGGAAUUACUGGGCGUAAAGCGCACGCAGGCGGUCUGUCAAGUCGGAUGUGAAAUCCCCGGGCUCAACCUGGGAACUGCAUUCGAAACUGGCAGGCUAGAGUCUUGUAGAGGGGGGUAGAAUUCCAGGUGUAGCGGUGAAAUGCGUAGAGAUCUGGAGGAAU
rnacentral:rRNA from 1 species